rnacentral:rRNA from 1 species
UGGGGAAUCUUGGACAAUGGGGGCAACCCUGAUCCAGCCAUGCCGCGUGAGCGAAGAAGGCCUUAGGGUUGUAAAGCUCUUUCAGCUGGGAAGAUAAUGACGGUACCAGCAGAAGAAGCCCCGGCUAACUCUGUGCCAGCAGCCGCGGUAAUACAGAGGGUGCAAACGUUGCUCGGAAUGACUGGGCGUAAAGCGCGCGCAGGUGGCCCGUUAAGUCGGCUGUGAAAUCCCCUGGCUCAACCAGGGAAGUGCAGUCGAUACUGGCGGGCUCGAGUCCCGGAGAGGGUGGUAGAAUUCCCAGUGUAGAGGUGAAAUUCGUAGAUAUUGGGAGGAAUACCGGUGGCGAAGGCGACCGCCUGGACGGGUACUGACACUGAGGCGCGAAAGCGUGGGGAGCAAACAGGAUUAGAUACCCCUGUAGUCC